rnacentral:rRNA from 1 species
GAUGAACGCUAGCGGCAGGCUUAAUACAUGCAAGUCGAGGGGCAGCACGAUUGUAGCAAUACAAUUGAUGGCGACCGGCAAACGGGUGCGGAACACGUACACAACCUUCCAAUAAGUGGGGAAUAGCCCAGAGAAAUUUGGAUUAAUACCCCGUAACAUAACGAUGUGGCAUCACAUUGUUAUUAUAGAUUUUUCGCUUAUUGAUGGGUGUGCGGCUGAUUAGAUAGUUGGCGGGGUAACGGCCCACCAAGUCUACGAUCAGUAGCUGAUGUGAGAGCAUGAUCAGCCACACGGGCACUGAGACACGGGCCCGACUCCUACGGGAGGCAGCAGUAAGGAAUAUUUGACAAUGGACGCAAGUCUGAUCCAGCCAUGCCGCGUGAAGGAUUAAGGUCCUCUGGAUUGUAAACUUCUUUUAUAAGGGACGAAAAAAGGCUUUUCUAAGUCGUCUGACGGUACCUUAUGAAUAAGCACCGGCUAACUCCGUGCCAGCCGCCGCGGUAACAC